rnacentral:rRNA from 1 species
UACGGAGAGUGCAAGCGUUAUCCGAAUUCACUAAGUUUAAAGAGUGCGUAGGUGGGCAGAUAAGUCAGUGGUGAAAUCUCUGGGCUUAACCCGGAAACUGCCAUUGAUACUAUUUGUCUUGAAUUCUCUGGAGGUAAACGGAAUAUGUCAUGUAACGGUGAAAUGCUUAGAUAUAACAUAGAACACCCAUUACGAAGGCAACUUACUACGAAAACAUUGACACUGAGGCACGAAAGCGUGGGGAUCAAACAGG